rnacentral:misc_RNA from 1 species
CACCACACAAUUUUUCCCGUCGCCAUCUUUGUUCUUUGUAAGAGGAAAAAUUAUUGCUCGUGAAAUUCACUAGAGAUUAAAGUUAAUUUUUACCUAAAAAAUACAUUGUAAUAUUUAGAAAUAGCUGAAAAUUCAUUAAAUUGCGAUAACCAAGUAUCUUGAAAGAAUUUUACUUGCUUUUGGAAGGGAUAUAAAAAAUAAUUUGGAAAAGUAUAUACAUAAAUAUCUGCUACGACGAAGAAAAUUUUCGUACCAAGGUUAUCAGACAUCAUUAGCGAAUAAAAUUUGUUUUAUUAAUCUCCAAAUAUCUUUUAAGAGUUUAAAACGAAGUGUGCUACAGUGUUGAUACAGCGCAACAUACAUACGUUGUGCCAAAGAAUAAAAAUAUAAAUAAACAGUUUUCUUCAAAGUUUUCUUUACAUUAAAUUAAAUUAAAAAACAUUGCUCAAGAAUGUCUGCAUCUAUUAGUAAAAUUCAUGUCACCAACUCUACUGGUUUAUCUUUAAACGAACGUUUCACUGCAGUGCAGGAUCGCCGUCGCGAGGUUCCAGAACGCGUUAUGCGACCACCGGCUCGCGAUACAUCAGUCGCAAAUCGCCGAUUACUACAACAAUUAGCUAGAAGACAUAAAAUGCAAGCAGCACUUAAAUUGAAACGCAGAAGCAUGCGUCCAAUUGGAGGAAGUUUAGCCAUGAGACGUGGCACUAUCAAGGCCUUGCGUGUAGCAGCCAAUGGAAAACCGAUCCGAACCAAUAGCCUGACCACCGUGGCAACUAUGGAAGCCGACUUGAUAUCAAACAGUCAACGUAACCUGAACAGAUCCCUCCGUCGAGCAAGUUCCGUUUCAAAUCGUUUGGGCUCACGCCGUCCGCUAGUAGGCGGAGCUGCUCAGCGUGUUGCUCAACGUCAACGUUUACAACGUACAAUGUCUGGCGCUGUUAUACCCAAUGAAAUGCAAAGGCGUGGACGAUCGCGCAGUCGGUCAAGAGCCCCCGUGGCGGUUAUAAAUUUGACACGUAGUCGUUCGCGCAGCAUCGGGCGCGUCCCAGCAGGUGGCGUGCAAAUGCGUGGUCGUUCUCGUUCACGUGCACGCUCAGUUAGCCGGGCUAAUGCUCGCAACCGAGCAAAUAUACCUGUAAAAGCACGUUUGGGGCUUCGUCCUGGUGCUAAUACACGCCCUCGACGUAGUACAAGUGGCGUACGCGGUGUUGCACAGGGACGUAUACAACGCCGGCGCAAUUCAAACAUUACUCCUGCUGCUAACGGACGCAAUGGAAUCGGCCGUCAGCGGGGAAGAACAUUGACUAGAAAGCCAAAUGCAAACGUUGUGGGACGUUCUCGAUCACGUACACGAAAUGGUACAAAGGUGGGCACUCAAUUACGUGCACGUUCACGUCCACGCGGGGGAUCUGUGGUUGGUCAGCGUAAUGCAGGAUCAGGAUCGGUACAAGGCGGUCGAGUACGUGGCCGUAGUCAACAACGGCGUGGAGGACGAGGUGCAACAGCUCAAAGGAAUGGUAAAGCAAAUGGUAAUAAGAACGGACAGCAACAACAACAGCAGAGACGUGGACGUAGUCGAAGUCGAGGACGUGGUGGCCGCAAUCAAGGUAAAAACUAACCAAUGCGUGCUGUGUUUGCCCACGCUGUCCCAGGAGCUUUUGUAUUUGAGUAAAAACGCAAAGCCCGAAGUUAAUAAGGAAAAGCUGGAUAAGGAAUUAGAUCAAUAUAUGGCCACAACAAGAACAGAAGGCAAUGAUUAU